UUUUAUGGAGAGUUUGAUCCUGGCUCAGGAUGAACGCUGGCGGCGUGCCUAAUACAUGCAAGUCGAGCGAACAGACGAGGAGCUUGCUCCUCUGACGUUAGCGGCGGACGGGUGAGUAACACGUGGAUAACCUACCUAUAAGACUGGGAUAACUUCGGGAAACCGGAGCUAAUACCGGAUAAUAUAUUGAACCGCAUGGUUCAAUAGUGAAAGACGGUUUUGCUGUCACUUAUAGAUGGAUCCGCGCCGCAUUAGCUAGUUGGUAAGGUAACGGCUUACCAAGGCAACGAUGCGUAGCCGACCUGAGAGGGUGAUCGGCCACACUGGAACUGAGACACGGUCCAGACUCCUACGGGAGGCAGCAGUAGGGAAUCUUCCGCAAUGGGCGAAAGCCUGACGGAGCAACGCCGCGUGAGUGAUGAAGGUCUUCGGAUCGUAAAACUCUGUUAUUAGGGAAGAACAAAUGUGUAAGUAACUAUGCACGUCUUGACGGUACCUAAUCAGAAAGCCACGGCUAACUACGUGCCAGCAGCCGCGGUAAUACGUAGGUGGCAAGCGUUAUCCGGAAUUAUUGGGCGUAAAGCGCGCGUAGGCGGUUUUUU
rnacentral:rRNA from 1 species